rnacentral:tRNA from 2 species
AGGGGUAUAGUUCAGCUGGUAGAACGUCGGUCUCCAAAACCGAAUGUCGUGGGUUCGAAUCCUGCUACCCCUGCCA